CCCCUCCCUCCAAAGCCCUUUUGCCAUUGCCACUACAGACGUAACGGACACCGCUAUAGCCAUGGAUUCCACAAAGAUAAUAAAUGCCCUUCUCCUCAUAUGUAUGCUCUGCAUCUUGACAGCCGCUCCCAUCCUCGGCUGCGGCUACUGCGGCAAGCACGCUCCCAAGCCCAGCCACAAGCCCGGUAAGAAGCCAGGCCGAGGCGGCAAGGGCCCCAUCGCCCUUCCUCCGAUCGUGAAGCCCCCCAUCACCUUGCCCCCAAUCGUGAAGCCCCCCGUCACUCUCCCUCCCAUUAAGCCGCCUGUGGAGGUGCCGCCGGUCACAGUGCCUCCCAUCGUCAAGCCCCCCAUCACCUUGCCCCCCGUCACUCUCCCUCCCAUUAAGCCGCCUGUGGAGGUGCCGCCGGUCACAGUGCCUCCCAUUGUCGAGCCCCCCGUCACUCUCCCUCCCAUAAAGCCACCUGUUGAGGUGCCGCCGGUGACACUGCCCCCCAUCGUGAAGCCCCCGGUGACUCUGCCCCCCAUUGUGAAGCCGCCGAUCACACUUCCCCCAGUCGUGAUGCCCCCAGUGACUCUGCCCCCCAUUGCGAAGCCGCCUAUCACGCUGCCCCUGCCCCCGGUGACACUGCCCCUGCCCCCAGUCACAGUGCCGCCGGUCAUCCCAAAGCCACCGACAGGGAAGCCGUGCCCACCACCAGCUGCUCCAAAGGACACCUGCCCAAUCGACACGCUGAAGCUGGGGGCGUGUGUGGACCUCCUGGGAGGGCUGGUGCAUAUUGGAGUGGGAGACCCGGCGGUGAAUGAGUGCUGCCCGGUGCUGGCGGGGUUGGUAGAGCUGGAGGCAGCGGUGUGCCUGUGCACCACCCUGAAGCUGAAGGUGCUCAACCUCAAGAUCUACGUUCCCCUAGCUCUCCAGCUGCUCGUCACCUGUGGCAAGACUCCUCCUCCCGGUUACACCUGCUCCCUCUAGGCAUUAUAUAGCUCGCAAACAACAAUGAAACAAGACAAGACACUGUACGUACGUAUGAAUCGAUCACCCCUCCCUCCCUCCCCGCGGCAGGUUGCUUGCUAGAGCAUUCGGACGAGUUCGACAUGAGAGGAUGCAUGUCGAGAGCUAGCGAGCCCAAUAUAUUCUCUCCCCUUUUAAUUGCUUCUGAAAGAUCAUUGAUGUCGCAUUGUAUUUUAACACCAUUUGUUUUAAUGAUUAUUGUCAGAUGUUGUGUUCUUCAAAGUCAUCAUCAGUAAUCUAGUGGAGAUUAAUCUCUGAUCUCUUUCGCAAUGGUAAAAUUGCUUAUAUUA